CCUACGGGAGGCAGCAGUGGGGAAUUUUGGACAAUGGGGGCAACCCUGAUCCAGCAAUGCCGCGUGAGUUAAGAAGGCCUUCGGGUUGUAAAGCUCUUUUGUCAGGGAAGAAACAGCAGCUCUAACACAGCUGUGAAUGACGGUACCUGAAGAAUAAGCACCGGCUAACUACGUGCCAGCAGCCGCGGUAAUACGUAGGGUGCAAGCGUUAAUCGGAAUUACUGGGCGUAAAGCGUGCGCAGGCGGUUAUAUAAGACAGGUGUGAAAUCCCCGGGCUUAACCUGGGAAUUGCAUCUGUGACUGUAUAGCUAGAGUGUGUCAGAGGGGGGUAGAAUUCCACGUGUAGCAGUGAAAUGCGUAGAUAUGUGGAGGAAUACCGAAUGGCGAAGGCAGCCCCCUGGGAUAACGACUGACGCUCAUGCACGAAAGCGUGGGGAGCAAACAGGAUUAGAUACCCUGGUAGUCCACGCCCUAAACGAUGCUGACUAGUUGUUCGGUAUUUACUCCUGAGUAACGUAGCUAACGCGUGAGUAGAGCGCGUGGAGUACGGUCGCGAGAGUAAACGUACGAAGAAGUAGACGCGAGAGACGAGACGACGGACGACGACGAGGGAGGAGG
rnacentral:rRNA from 1 species